GAUGAACGCUGGCGGCGUGCUUAACACAUGCAAGUCGAGCGAAGCGCUUUUGCGGAUUUCUUCGGAUUGAAGCAACUGUGACUGAGCGGCGGACGGGUGAGUAACGCGUGGGUAACCUACCUCAUACAGGGGGAUAACAGUUGGAAACGGCUGCUAAUACCGCAUAAGCGCACAGUACCGCAUGGUACCGUGUGAAAAACUCCGGUGGUAUGAGAUGGACCCGCGUCUGAUUAGCUAGUUGGUGGGGUAACGGCCUACCAAGGCGACGAUCAGUAGCCGACCUGAGAGGGUGACCGGCCACAUUGGGACUGAGACACGGCCCAAACUCCUACGGGAGGCAGCAGUGGGGAAUAUUGCACAAUGGGGGAAACCCUGAUGCAGCGACGCCGCGUGAGCGAUGAAGUAUUUCGGUAUGUAAAGCUCUAUCAGCAGGGAAGAAA
rnacentral:rRNA from 1 species